CCUACGGGUGGCUGCAGUAAGGAAUAUUGGUCAAUGGACGAAAGUCUGAACCAGCCAUGCCGCGUGGAGGAUGAAGGUCCUCUGGAUUGUAAACUUCUUUUAUAUGGGACGAAAAAAGGCUUUUCUAAGUCGUCUGGCGGUACCAUAUGAAUAAGCACCGGCUAACUCCGUGCCAGCAGCCGCGGUAAUACGGAGGGUGCAAGAGUUAUCCGGAUUCACUGGGUUGAAGGGGUGUUGGGAUGUCUGUGGUGAAAUCCCCGAGCUUAACUUGGGAACUGCCAUUGAUACUAGCAGUCUUGAAUACCGUGGAGGUCAGCGGAAUAUGUCAUGUAGCGGUGAAAUGCUUAGAUAUGACAUAGAACACCAAUUGCGAAGGCAGCUGGCUACCCGAAUAUUGACACUGAGGCACGAAAGCGUGGGGAUCAAACAGGAUUAGAUACCCGAGUAGUC
rnacentral:rRNA from 1 species